UGGGAUCGCAACCCGGGCAGUCUGGCUCCAAAUCCGCGCUGGUGACCCUUGCGCCGCGCGGUCGGCGCAAGGGAGGAGCAGAGGGGAAAGGCGUGGGGCUGCGCGUUCCGGGAUGAGACUCACCCCACCCCGCCCCCCACCCCCCCAGGUUUUCCAAACAAUAUCCAGGAGAAGAUGCUGGAUUCGUCUUUCGUAAAUGUGCGGUGUUGCUGCUGUUCUCCGGAUCGAGCCAAUUUCACGGCAGGGUGCUCCAAGCAGGCUGCAGCCACGGAGCAGAAAGCCGAGAGAGAGAAAACAGCUGCGAGAGCCUUCCGUGUGCCAUCUGUCCCCAGAUUCACCCCGAGCAUCCCAGGACGUACCCUAGGCUGCUGGGCCCUGCGCCUCCCGAGCGUAACCUCGAGAGUAAAUGGGAAAACCCUUGGGGAGCCCAAUGGGGAGACAUUGCUGGAACCCGCUCUAAGCACCCUGCACCCCAGGCCAUGGCAGAUUGACGCACUGGAACAGUGAGUCAGAGGUCCCCAGGGGCCUGCCGUCCACCCACACCCCCCACACCCCCCCCCCGCAUCAAGAAGGCCCAAAGUUGCCACUUGACUGAGUCACCAGGGCUGAGGGGGUCCUCCUCUUCUGCAAGCAGCAACAGAUUCGUCCUCUCAAAACUCAAAGGCCAAGAGAGUUUCGUUAUUAGUAAUACAUGUUACUCAUUAUCGUCA